rfam:Mycobacterium sp. MOTT36Y, complete genome.
AUUACCAGACACGGGAGUCCCGGGAGCGGGGCUGAGAGUGGGCACAGCCGCGAGGACCUGCCCUUACCGUCACACCUGAUCCGGAUCAUGCCGGCGAAGGGAGGCUCGACAAUGACCGG